CAGAAAUCAAGAUCGGAAUUUCUAUUAAGUAUCUUUCAUUUGUGUUUCUUUCGUUCUUUUUUCUUUUUUAGCUUCUCUGUAUCUACCUUUGUGUUAUUCUAUAAAAUUUCAAAGUACAGUACUGUGGUGCUUACUCUCAAAAUUCCCAGAUCUUAGUUUUAUUCAUAGAUAACUUGUUCUACUUUUGUCUACAAUUUGACUGAUUUUAAGAUGAACUGUUUUUUGGGUAUUUCUCUGUUUUGUUAUUAUUUGUAGGUAGAUUGUUAUGGACUGGUGUCUUGAGUAAGGCUAAUAAGACAAAUAUAUAUGUUAUAAAACAAGUAUAAAGUGAAGUUUUAAUCUUACCCCUAGCGGAAUGAAAGGUAGCCAGUAAUUUUUUUUUGAAAGGAAGAUUAUCUCUCGAACUGCCAUUAUUAAACAACAAAAGGUCCACAAACCCUUCACAAGACAGAUAACAAAACACUUAUGACCAAAGCAACAUGGCAGGAAAACGCAUGCAAUCUGCACUCAAUCAUAUAGAAAGGUAGCCAGUAAUGGUUGUAAAACACUGCAAAAACAGGUCAUGAAGACACAAUAUUACCAGUUCAAUAUAUAAGCAUAUAUAUAGUACUUAUGCUGCAACAAUGUUGACUAAAAAAUUCGUCUAACCAUGGGAGCAAAUAGCAGAAUGCAGUGGUGAUAUACCUUGCACAGAAAGAAGGAAAGUGCAAGACAGAUACUUGUGGGAGUGAGCUUGCUGAAAUCAAGGAAUUUGAGCCCAGCAGCUACUUCUUCAAGUCCUAGUGCACCUGAAGAUGGUGUCACUUCGGGUCCCACAUCAUCAGUUCCUUGUGUGGCUUCACCUUCUUCAGAUAUUGGUCUCGAAGAGCUUGUUAUUCCCACCUCUGAGGUCCCAUCUAUUCCACCACCGCUGCCUAAGGGUCAUUAUAUGCAAACACACUCUAAAUAUGGAAUUUUCAAGCCUAAAGUCUACUUGGCUAUUCUUGAAGUAAUAGGUUCUGUACACAAGUUUAAAUUUUGAUCAAUUAUCCCUAUAAUAUUUCUCUGAUGGUGAAAUUUUUAUUAGGUGUCUCUGAUGAGAAAAUUAAAAUAUAUUCUGUACAAAACUAUUGCUAGUUCUUGAGAAUCACUUGUGUUCUGUUUGGUGCAAUAAAAUAUUUGUUUUCCUUGA